rnacentral:SRP_RNA from 1 species
UUGUGGUAUGCGCUGCUGAAUUACUAUCCCCAGGAUGUGGAUGAUGCGUCCAUCUCAAACCAGGAGUCUACAUUGGGGUAUUGUCGUAAGACAGUGCACCGAGGUCACUAAGAAAGGGUGUACU